GACGAACGCUGGCGGCGUGCUUAACACAUGCAAGUCGAACGGAAAGGCCCUGCUUUUGUGGGGUGCUCGAGUGGCGAACGGGUGAGUAACACGUGAGUAACCUGCCCUAGACUUUGGGAUAACUUCAGGAAACUGGGGCUAAUACCGGAUAGGAGCUCCUGCUGCAUGGUGGGGGUUGGAAAGUUUCGGCGGUUGGGGAUGGACUCGCGGCUUAUCAGCUUGUUGGUGGGGUAGUGGCUUACCAAGGCUUUGACGGGUAGCCGGCCUGAGAGGGUGACCGGCCACAUUGGGACUGAGAUACGGCCCAGACUCCUACGGGAGGCAGCAGUGGGGAAUAGUGCACAAUGGGCGGAAGCCUGAUGCAGCAACGCCGCGUGCGGGAUGACGGCCUUCGGGUUGUAAACCGCUUUCGCCUGUGACGAAGCGUGAGUGACGGUAAUGGGUAAAGAAGCACCGGCUAACUACGUG
rnacentral:rRNA from 1 species